GACGAACGCUGGCGGCGUGCUUAACACAUGCAAGUCGAACGGAAAGGCCCUGCUUGCAGGGUACUCGAGUGGCGAACGGGUGAGUAACACGUGGGUGAUCUGCCCUGCACUUCGGGAUAAGCCUGGGAAACUGGGUCUAAUACCGGAUAGGAGCCAUUUUUAGUGUGAUGGUUGGAAAGUUUUUUCGGUGUAGGAUGAGCUCGCGGCCUAUCAGCUUGUUGGUGGGGUAAUGGCCUACCAAGGCGGCGACGGGUAGCCGGCCUGAGAGGGUGGACGGCCACAUUGGGACUGAGAUACGGCCCAGACUCCUACGGGAGGCAGCAGUGGGGAAUAUUGCACAAUGGGCGCAAGCCUGAUGCAGCGACGCCGCGUGGGGGAGGACGGCCUUCGGGUUGGAAACUCCCUUCGCUAGGGACGAAGCUUUUUGUGACGGUACCUAGAUAAGAAGCACCGGCUAACUACGUG
rnacentral:rRNA from 1 species